CAAAGACGUGCAAGUCCCGCCACAGCCCAGGCAGGAAGUUCAUUGGCUAGAGGACUGGGAAAGAUCGGACGUUCAUUGGCCAGGAGAUAAGUCCCAGUCUUCCGUAAAUCACGCGGAAAUCGGUCUCUGUUAAAUUCGCUCCUGUGGAGGACGCAUGCGUGGGAUUCUCCACGCCUUAGUUUCUGGUUGCGUUUUAGGCAGAAACCGAUUCCCACCAGGCAUGAAACUGUCUGUCCGAAGCAUACACUCACAGGACUAGAGGACUUGCGAGAAUCCAUGUCAUGACCAGUAUGUGGAAAAAUGCUCAACUGCACGAGUACCAGCACAGCCCCAUCUGUCUCCCCCCUACCAGCUUCUGGGCCAAUUCUCUCCUGACCGUGGCCGAAGUCUGUCGGGACCUGCAUCAUCAUCCAGGUUAGCAGCGAGACAUCACAGGCCACCCACUGGACACCCUGGGAAUGAAAAAGAGGCCAAAGGUCUGGUGUCUUUAACUGGAAAAGUACGAUUGCAAGAUUAACAACGGCGACCCCGGUGUGCAUUACUGCUGGUGGAAACAAGCAUAUGAUAUCACAACAGAGGAAGAAAAGGCAGCAAAUCUGCUUUCAAAGCCCACAGUGUGACAGCUUUACGGUCGUCUUUUGAACGGUAUCAAUACUGGUUUCCUAUUGCUACUGUAACAGACUGCCCCGAAUUUCGUCGCUUCAGAUUAUUCUGCCUGUCCCAGCACUGCAGCCUUAUGCUUCCAGUGAGAGUUCCCGUCCUUGCCCCUCAGAUAACCAGGCACGGACAUGCAGUUAGGUCUUCAUAUUUGAAAACAGGACAGGACCAUAACUCUUGGAUGCUAUUACUUCUUUUUCUUUUUGGCAAGUUGAAGAAUACCAGGUAACUGUAAGAAUGAAGAAACUGUAACUUCUGUAUUCGUCUGCAUUGUCCCUCUCUUGGUCUGUAUCUGUCUCCUUUGGCUGCUUUCCCCCUUGUCCUCUUUAUAUUCUGGAUUACUAAGCCUUUAUUCACUUCACUUGUCUGUGAGUAUAAAAAGAAGAAAAAAUCUAGGUCUCUUUCUAUUAAGACAGAUGACUUUAUAAUACAUUUUAAACACCCUGAAAAUACACAGACUUUUUCUUAAGGUGUUUUGUUGUCGUACCUUGGAUUGGAGUGUUAAAUGAUAUGUGGAACCUGAUUUCUCAAGAAGAAUUUAUUCUAAAACAGCAGUGUAAUAAGUUUAAAAUACAGAGAAAAAAAAUCCAAUAUGUGGAUUGGAAAAAAAAUCCAUAGCUCUGGUUUAGGUCCCAUAUGUGUGGAUGUGUGACAUCCAUCAGUGGGAUAAACAGCACCUGGUGGCUGAUUUACAGAGUGGUAUUCCUCCAAAAAGGCAGCCAUUCACCCCCUGACAACUGAAUGAGUGAUGGCAGCUGUAUUCCAGAAGGCUCUAUUUGGGAAAGCAAAAUUUAGGGUAGGGUGGGAUCAACAUAAAAAGAUAAGGAGACGUAAGGAUCCCAUCUGUCUGGGUCUCUUGGGUUAGAGCCAGCCCCUAGAGGAUACAGCGUCUCCCUCUUCUUCUAGACUGGGGGAUAUUGAAGAUUUGCAUUGAGGCGAUCCAUACAUGCCACAGCUGCCCCUUGGUCAGUCCGUUUGGAUUAGUGAAUCAGGAUAAAAAUGGUUUCUGCUUUAAAAAGCAAACAACAAACAAACAAACAAACUGAUUCAUCAGCCUUCAUGUUUAACAAUUAGAACUACCACAGGCAAGUUCAGGAAUGGUAAGUCAGCAAUGCUAAGGCUUGACUGGUGCCCUGACAGUCCCACCUUUGCCACAAAACCUCCCAUUAUUCUGGAAGUAUUCUAUGGCUGCUCUUCCUGUACCACACAAGGCCCUACUCAUGAAAAGAAAGCACUAAAACCUGACUUUAAUUCGGAUGCACAGUGAAAGAGAAAAUGGGAGAGCCAUUCAAAGCAGUAGAUCCUGAAAUUUAACUCUUGAGCUUUAGCCUCAGGCUUCAUGAGCUCAAAUCUCAGUUCCAGCGGGAGAGGAAAUGUGGAGUCACUGCUUAGUGGGUACAGAGUUUCUGUUUGAGAUGGUGAAAGCAUUCUGGAAUACGUAAUGGGUGGUGAUCAUUACACAGCAGUAUGGAGUACUUAAUGCUACCAAAUUGUUACUUCGAAAUGGCUAAAAAGGUGAAUUUUACGUUACAUAUAUUUACCACAAUAAAAAAAAUGAAGGUAAGAAUUCCA
rnacentral:lncRNA from 1 species